GGGGAAUCUUGCGCAAUGGCCGAAAGGCUGACGCAGCGACGCCGCGUGUGGGAGGAAGCUCUUCGGGGUGUAAACCACUGUUGCCCGGGACGAACACUUGGUUUCGACCAAGCUGACGGUACCGGGUGAGGAAGCACCGGCUAACUCUGUGCCAGCAGCCGCGGUAAUACAGAGGGUGCGAGUGUUGUCCGGAAUCACUGGGCGUAAAGGGCGCGUAGGUGGUGGCUUAAGCGUGCGGUGAAAGCUCGGGGCUCAACUCCGAGUCGGCCGUGCGAACUGGGCUCACUGGAGCAUAGUAGAGGCAGGUGGAAUUCCGGGUGUAGCGGUGGAAUGCGUAGAGAUCCGGAAGAACACCGGUGGCGAAGGCGGCCUGCUGGGCAGUUUGGCUGACACUGAGGCGCGACAGCGUGGGGAGCAAAC
rnacentral:rRNA from 1 species